GAGCAGGCAGAUCGCUCUCACAUCUGUCACCACAUUGAUUGCCAGGGUUGAUUCAGCUGAUCCGGGCUGGCUAGGUGGGUGUCCCCCUUCCUCCCUCAACGCUACAUGUCCUCCCAAAGCAGCGCACUUGGUGGAAGAGGAUGACAUCCCAGGUAUAGAAGGAGUGUACUGAGGUAUCCAGACUUCGGUCCCGGGUAUACAAUAGCUGCACUCCCCUGCUAGAACCUCCAAACAAGCUCAAGGGUGCCUCUGCCUCAUGGCACUCCGUGCACCCUCCCUCCUUCCCCAUCUGUCAGAGCUACCCGAAAAACACUUUCCUCUCAAU
rnacentral:snRNA from 1 species